UGUCCGAGUAGUACACGAAUAUGAUUACCUAUUAAUUAUAAUGUCAACAAAUUGAAUAAAGCAAAUUAUGAUACUACGUAAAUCUAUUAUAUUACCCGUAGCAACACACGGGCAUUAUGCUAAUCAUUUAUAUUCGUGAACCAAGCUCUGGAUCCAUUAUAUUCUGACCUAAAUGGAUGAGUGGGCGGGACGGCGGCGAUAGCAGGCGCUGGUGGACGCUGUGCCGGCGGCUGUGGAGUCCACGGGCCAGGUGGUGCCGGAGGAUCAUAUCGGACGCUGUGGAGUCCGCCGAGCAGGACGGCCGGGGACGGACGGCGGCGAGGUGGUCCCCGACGCCGUCGACCGGCCAAGGAAAUUUGGCGCUAUAUAUCUGGUGUUUGAUCUCUUGGAGGAUGUACAACACCUGCAGCCGAGUAGUCCGGUUCCCUCCUCUGAAAUGGCCAAGACCAGCACCCGGGCAUCCGGCUCAAUUAAGUGACCAAUUCCCAAAUCACUUUAUUAAGAGUAACUUCCCAGGGUUACUGUUUCACCAAUCCUGAAUAGUUGUAAUAGUAAGUAAAUUCCUACCAACUUUGGAUCAAACUUGACCCCUAUCAAAUUCGCAUAA